rnacentral:rRNA from 1 species
AGAGGGUGCAAGCGUUAAUCGGAAUUACUGGGCGUAAAGCGCGCGUAGGUGGUUUGUUAAGUUGGAUGUGAAAUCCCCGGGCUCAACCUGGGAACUGCAUUCAAAACUGACUGACUAGAGUAUGGUAGAGGGUGGUGGAAUUUCCUGUGUAGCGGUGAAAUGCGUAGAUAUAGGAAGGAACACCAGUGGCGAAGGCGACCACCUGGACUGAUACUGACACUGAGGUGCGAAAGCGUGGGGAGCAAAC